rnacentral:rRNA from 1 species
CCUACGGGAGGCAGCAGUAGGGAAUUUUCGGCAAUGGGGGGAACCCUGACCGAGCAACGCCGCGUGAAGGAAGAAGGAAUUCGUUCUGUAAACUUCUGUUAUAAAGGAAGAAAGACGGAUGGAGGAAAUGACAUCCGAGUGACGGUACUUUAUGAGAAAGCCACGGCUAAAUACGUACCAGCAGCCGCGGUAAUACGUAGGUGGCAAGCGUUAUCCGGAAUUAUUGGGCGUAAAGAGGGAGCAGGCGGCAGCAAAGGUCUGUGGUGAAAGACUGAAGCUAAACUUCAGUAAGCCAUAGAAACCGGGUAGCUAGAGUGCAGGAGAGGAUCGUGGAAUUCCAUGUGUAGCGGUGAAAUGCGUAGAUAUUAGGAGGAACACCAGUGGCGAAGGCGGCUUACUGGACAGUAACUGACGUUGAGGCUCGAAAGCGUGGGGAGCAAACAGGAUUAGAUACCCCAGUAGUU